rnacentral:rRNA from 1 species
UACAGAGGUCUCAAGCGUUGUUCGGAUUCAUUGGGCGUAAAGGGUGCGUAGGCGGCGCGGUAAGUCGGGUGUGAAAUCUUGGAGCUUAACUCCGAAACUGCAUUCGAUACUGCCGUGCUUGAGGACUGGAGAGGAGACUGGAAUUUACGGUGUAGCGGUGAAAUGCGUAGAUAUCGGAAGGAACACCAGUGGCGAAAAGCGGCUUCCUGGUCCAGCACCGACGUUCAGGCACGAAAGCGUGGGGAGCAAACAGGG